GGGAAUGAUGAUUUCUCAGACUAGAGUCUCUGACACUGGUCUUGAUGUCAAAACUUAAGUUCUGACUU